rnacentral:tRNA from 1 species
GCUUCGGUAGCUCAAUCUGGCAGAGUAUCCGUUUCGUAAGCGGAAUGUUGCGGGUUCGAUUCCCGCCCGAAGCUCCA